rnacentral:rRNA from 1 species
AAUGGAGGAAACUCUGAUGCAGCGAUGCCGCGUGAGUGAAGAAGGCCCUUGGGUUGUAAAGCUCUUUCGUCGGGGAAGAAAAUGACUGUACCCGAAUAAGAAGGUCCGGCUAACUUCGUGCCAGCAGCCGCGGUAAUACGAAGGGACCUAGCGUAGUUCGGAAUUACUGGGCUUAAAGAGUUCGUAGGUGGUUGAAAAAGUUGGUGGUGAAAUCCCAGAGCUUAACUCUGGAACUGCCAUCAAAACUUUCCAGCUAGAGUAUGAUAGAGGAAAGCAGAAUUUCUAGUGUAGAGGUGAAAUUCGUAGAUAUUAGAAAGAAUACCAAUUGCGAAGGCAGCUUUCUGGAUCAUUACUGACACUGAGGAACGAAAGCAUGGGUAGCGAAGAGGAUU